rnacentral:rRNA from 1 species
CGUAAAGCGCGCGUAGGUGGCUUGAUAAGCCGGUUGUGAAAGCCCCGGGCUCNACCUGGGAACGGCAUCCGGAACUGUCAGCUAGAGUGCAGGAGAGGAAGGUAGAAUUCCCGGUGUAGCGGUGAAAUGCGUAGAGAUCGGGAGGAAUACCAGUGGCGAAGGCGGCCUUCUGGACUGACACUGACANUGAGGUGCGAAAGCGUGGGUAGCAAACAGGAUUAGAUACCCUGGUAGUCCACGCCGUNAACGAUGUCGACCAGCCGUUGGGUGCCUAGCGCACUUUGUGGCGAAGUUAACGCGAUAAGUCGACCGCCUGGGGAGUACGGCCGCAAGGUUAAAACUCAAAUGAAUUGACGGGGGCCCGCACAAGCGGUGGAGCAUGUGGUUUAAUUCGAUGCAACGCGAAGAACCUUACCUACUCUUGACAUCCUGCGAACUUGUGAGAGAUCACUUGGUGCCUUCGGGAACGCAGAGACAGGUGCUGCAUGGCUGUNGUCAGCUCGUGUUNUGAAAUGUUGGGUUAAGUCCCGUAACGAGCGCAACCCUUGUCCUUAUUUGCCAGCGGGUAAUGCCGGGAACUCUAAGGAGACUGCCGGUGACAAACCGGAGGAAGGUGGGGACGACGUCAAGUCAUCAUGGCCCUUACGAGUAGGGCUACACACGUGCUACAAUGGCCGGUACAAAGGGUUGCGAGCUCGCGAGAGUCAGCUAAUCCCGAAAAGCCGGUCUCAGUCCGGAUCGGAGUCUGCAACUCGACUCCGUGAAGUCGGAAUCGCUAGUAAUCGUGAAUCAGAAUGUCACGGUGAAUACGUUCCCGGGCCUUGUACACACCGCCCGUCACACCAUGGGAGUGGACUGCACCAGAAGUGGUUAGCUUAACCUUCGGGAAAGCG